rnacentral:rRNA from 1 species
GACCAAGGAGUCUAACACGUACGCGAGUCGUCGGGCACCACUACACCCGAAGGCGCAUUGAACGAAAAGGCCGGCCCUUGCGGCCGGCCGAGGGACGAUGGGGGCUACCUCGGUAGCCCCUCGCAGUCCCGGGGCGUCUCGUCCUACGGCCGCUCGUCGGUCGAAGGUGAGGCGCACCGAGAGCGUACGCGUUGGUACCCGAAAGAUGGUGAACUAUGCCUGGCCAGGACGAAGUCAGGGGAAACCCUGAUGGAGGUCCGUAGCGAUUCUGACGUGCAAAUCGAUCGUCAGAGCUGGGUAUAGGGGCGAAAGACUAAUCGAACCAUCUAGUAGCUGGUUCCCUCCGAAGUUUCCCUCAGGAUAGCUGGCGUUCGGAGAUUCGAAUCCCAUCCGGUAAAGCGAAUGAUUAGAGGCCGUGGGAUCGAAACGAUUUCAACCUAUUCUCAAACUUUAAAUGGGUGGGAACCGCGGCUUGCUUGAAAGUGAAGCCGCGGACCCGGAUCAGAGCGCCCAGUGGGCCACUUUUGGUAAGCAGAACUGGCGCUGUGGGAUGAACCAAACGCCGGGUUAAGGCGCCAAAAUCGACGCUCAUUCGACACCAUGAAAGGUGUUGGUUGCUUAAGACAGCAGGA